rnacentral:lncRNA from 1 species
CCACCCCUACUAUUUUAGAGUCUCCAGCUUCUUGUGAAGUAUGCUUGCCACUACAUAAAAUAAUUUCUGGCAGCCUCUGGAGGAUAUCCCACAAAUGCUCAAUAUCAAACUGUCCUAACAGCCACUGCAUGGCUUCUCUGCUCCUCUUUUGGUCAUGUCUUUGAGUUACAAUCUCAUUUUCUAGUUAAUGCUGGGUCCAUGGCACCUGCAGAUCCUAUGGCAUCUUUCAGUUCCCCCUGCUGCUUCUGCUGGGCAUGAACACUGCUGCUCCCAUCGAUGCUGCUAUCUUCCGUUUGGCACCACUGCCUCCCACUGGGCACUACACCCCCACAAACACUCUGGGACCUAUAAGGCAUCAAAGCCAUACUGGUUGUCCUGGCAGAGACUUGAUGCUUCCAACACAAGAGCAGGAGCCAAAGAGAAUUUAUCAUCAGAUUGGAUUUGUUUGUGUUUGAAUUUGUCUGAGAUCUGGCCAUGAGAAAUUAUUUCCUUUACACCUCUGCUGUUGUUCCAGAUGUUCCAGGGCUUGUUGGGUGUUACACUGCUGAUUCACUUCUGACCCUCACACUGGGAAAUGAUAGCCAACCCACCUCUGGAAGUCCAUCCCCAAGUCAACUGUUAAUAGGUUUGUAUCUGUUCCAGACAUUGAGGUUUCAGAAAAAACUACUUGGACAUUACACUGCGAGAGAAAUGAGCAUUUAAAUUGCUUUUAGUGGUAAAGGGGAUUGGAAUACGAGAGUAUAAAAUGUGCUGCUUAUUUGUAGAAGAAAAUCUCUUUUUUCCAAGUAUCAUCUCCAUUUUUACCUGCAAUUCUGUGUUAGUUAUAGUGGAAAGUAUCAUUCACUUCACACUUUUUAAAAGCAAAUUCCCUUGAAAAGGGGGUCACAUCUGUAUUAACAUGUCAGUGUGGAUAAGCUGGAGAGCCUGUGUUGGCUUGGAUGAGGUAAAUACGUAAAGGAGAAGUUAUGCAGGCUGAGGAAAAUCUCAGUAGCUUCAACUUUUUUCCAGAGUGUAAAGUGUUAACAUGUAAUCUCUUGAGACUUAAAUACAUCUUGUUAAGCUGACAGUUUUCAAGAACUGGUGUCUUAACCAGUUUACCAAAUGUGUAUACCAAGAUAUUAAGUGCAAUAAUCAGACAACCAACUUAAAGAAUACCUCUUAUAGUUGAAUUAGCUAUUUUAAAAUUAUCUCCCUAAAGAGAUUUAUUUCCUUCAGGUUACUCUGCAAAUGUCUGCUAUUUAUUUCCUUAACUAUUUGCAUCUCUAUUUGCAAGAUGCUAGAGUUACAUCUGUAUCUUUGCUCUGAGUGCUUGAUAUAGUGGCCUCAAAAAAAAUCAGCACUUAGCUAUAUAGGAUAAAUAAGUUCUGGAUAUCUACUAUACAGCAUAGUGCCCAUAGCUAAAAUACUAUAUUAUAUACUUAAAAUUUGCUAAAAAGGUAGAUCUUACAUU